GGAGGGGUCGCAUAGUGGUCUAGUGCGCAGUCCUGGAAAGACUGUAUGUCAGAAAUGGCAUCGAGGGUUCAAAUCCCUCCCCCUCCG
rnacentral:tRNA from 1 species